UACGGAGGGUGCAAGCGUUGUCCGGAAUCACUGGGCGUAAAGGGCGCGUAGGCGGCUCGGUAAGUAGGGGGUGAAAUCCUGCGGCUUAACCGCAGGGCUGCCUUCUAAACUGUCGAGCUUGAGCACGGUAGAGGCAGAUGGAAUUCCCGGUGUAGCGGUGGAAUGCGUAGAGAUCGGGAAGAACAUCAGUGGCGAAGGCGGCUUCCUGGACCGGUUCUGACACUGAGGAGCGAAAGCGUGGGGAGCGAUCCGG
rnacentral:rRNA from 1 species